rnacentral:lncRNA from 1 species
UGGGAGUGUGCGGAGUGGCCCCGUGUGUGUCUGUGUGUACACGUGUGCGGUGGGAAGGGUCCCGGCCAUUGGGGUGUGGGCUACAGUAGUGAGGCAGUGCGGGGAGCAGCCGUGAGACUGAGAGAUUGUGUGAUGUGUUGUGUUCAAGUUUGAGUUUGGGCUUUUGUAUCAGGAAACUGAGGUUGAGAGAAUUUAAGUGAUUUGCCCAAGAUUCCAUAGAUAAUCACUGACAGAAUAGGGUCUCAUGUAACUCUGAGAAACUGGAUAGAUUAUGGUAUAUGAACGAAAUCGAUUGCUGAAAGAAGUUAAUUGACUUGCCCAGAGUUAUGCAGCC